CCUACGGGAGGCAGCAGUGGGGAAUCUUGCGCAAUGGGCGAAAGCCUGACGCAGCAACGCCGCGUGCGGGAAGAAGGCUUUCGGGCUGUAAACCGCUUUCAGCAGGAACGAAAAUGACGGUACCUGCAGAAGAAGGAGCGGCCAACUAUGUGCCAGCAGCCGCGGUGAUACAUAGGCUUCAAGCGUUGUCCGGAUUUAUUGGGCGUAAAGAGUUCGUAGGCGGUCGAGUAAGUCGGGUGUGAAAAUUCUGGGCUCAACCCAGAGACGCCACCCGAUACUGCUUAACUUGAGUUCGAUAGGGGAGUGGGGAAUUCCUAGUGUAGCGGUGAAAUGCGCAGAUAUUAGGAGGAACACCGGUGGCGAAGGCGCCACUCUGGAUCGAUACUGACGCUGAGGAACGAAAGCAUGGGUAGCAAACAGGAUUAGAUACCCUGGUAGUCCAUGCCGUAAACGGUGGGCACUAGGUGUGGGAUUCUAUUAACGAAUUCCGCGCCGUCGCUAACGCAUUAAGUGCCCCGCCUGGGGAGUACGGUCGCAAGCUAAAACUCAAAUGAAUUGACGGCUGAGACGUGCGAGCGACGACGAGGGAGUAGG
rnacentral:rRNA from 1 species